GAUGAACGCUGGCGGCGUGCCUAAUACAUGCAAGUCGAGCGAAUGGAUUAAGAGCUUGCUCUUAUGAAGUUAGCGGCGGACGGGUGAGUAACACGUGGGUAACCUGCCCAUAAGACUGGGAUAACUCCGGGAAACCGGGGCUAAUACCGGAUAACAUUUUGAACCGCAUGGUUCGAAAUUGAAAGGCGGCUUCGGCUGUCACUUAUGGAUGGACCCGCGUCGCAUUAGCUAGUUGGUGAGGUAACGGCUCACCAAGGCAACGAUGCGUAGCCGACCUGAGAGGGGGAUCGGCCAAACUGGGACUGGAACACGGCCCAGACUCCUACGGGAGGUAGCAGUAGGGAAUCUUCCGCAAUGGACGAAAGUCUGACGGGGCAACGCCGCGUGAGUGAUGAAGGCUUUCGGGUCGUAAAACUCUGUUGUUAGGGAAGAACAAGUGCUAGUUGAAUAAGCUGGCACCUUGACGGUACCUAACCAGAAAGCCACGGCUAACUACGUGCCAGCCGCCGCCGUAA
rnacentral:rRNA from 1 species